UACGUAGGGAGCAAGCGUUGUCCGGAUUUACUGGGUGUAAAGGGUGCGUAGGCGGCCCUGCAAGUCAGAAGUGAAAUCCAUGGGCUUAACCCGUGAACUGCUUUUGAAACUGUAGUUCUUGAGUGAUGGAGAGGCAGGCGGAAUUCCGUGUGUAGCGGUGAAAUGCGUAGAUAUACGGAGGAACACCAGUGGCGAAGGCGGCCUGCUGGACAUUAACUGACGCUGAGGCGCGAAAGCGUGGGGAGCAAACAGG
rnacentral:rRNA from 1 species